rnacentral:rRNA from 1 species
UACAGAGGGUGCGAGCGUUACUCGGAUUUACUGGGCGUAAAGGGCGCGUAGGCGGCCACCGCAAGUCGACUGUGAAAUCUCCGGGCUUAACCCGGAAAGGUCAGCCGAUACUGCGGGGCUAGAGUGCAGAAGGGGCAACUGGAAUUCUCGGUGUAGCGGUGAAAUGCGUAGAUAUCGAGAGGAACACCUGCGGCGAAGGCGGGUUGCUGGGCUGACACUGACGCUGAGGCGCGAAAGCUAGGGGAGCGAACGGG